GAUCCUGGUCAGAUUAACGGGGCAGGCUAACACAUAGAACGAGCACAGAGAGCUUGGUGACGAGUGGCGGACGGUGAGUAAUGUCUGGGAAACUGCGAUGGAGGGGGAUAACUACUGGAAACGGUAGCUAAUACCGCAUAACGUCGCAAGACCAAAGAGGGGGACCUUCGGGCCUCUUGCCAUCAGAUGUGCCCAGAUGGGAUUAGCUAGUAGGUGGGGUAACGGCUCACCUAGGCGACGAUCCCUAGCUGGUCUGAGAGGAUGACCAGCCACACUGGAACUGAGACACGGUCCAGACUGCAGCAGUGGGGCAAUGGGCGCAAGCCUGAUGCAGCCAUGCCGCGUGUAUGAAGAAGGCCUUCGGGUUGUAAAGUACUUUCAGCGGGGAGGAAGGUGUUGUGGUUAAUAACCGCAGCAAUUGACGUUACCCGCAGAAGAAGCACCGGCUAACUCCGUGCCAGCAGCCGCCGGAGGGCAAAAUGGAAUUACUGGGCGUAAAGCGCACGCAGGCGGUCUGUCAAGUCGGAUGUGAAAUCCCCGGAACCUGGGAACACAGGCUAGAGUCUUGUAGAGGGGGGUAGAAGAGAGGAGGAGAAGGGGCCC
rnacentral:rRNA from 1 species